GAAAUCUGAAUCACCAACCGAAUCUUCCAGAGAAGGUGAGCGUGAACAGGAGCAAAUUUUGGGACACACCGGACACUGCACUGAAGCUACGAGAGCUUGAGCCAAAGCAGUAGAGGACCCGGAAACAGUAUUAUCGGAAGAUGGACACGUCAAGCCGAUUAGACAGUCUGAGUUUUGGGUACCAACCUGCCCAUUUCCCGAGUUGGGACGCCCUCAUCAAAUUCCCAUUGCCCACAAUCCACACGCGAAUCCCGUUGAGCAGACAGCACAGCGUGCUCAGCGACAGCCAGGCCACAGUGACAGCACCGAUC